CCACUGCGGGGAUCGCUGGGCGCGUGGUCUGCCCCCCCACCACCUUUCGGGGAAACUGAGGCCCGAGGAGUCGGGGAGAGCCGGCGGAGGUCAGCCGCGGUUCCAGGCCUCGCCCCUGGGUUCGGGCCCAGCUCCUCCACCGAGAGGUCGGUGUGGACCUCUCAGGAUGCGUGUCCCGGGUCGGAUCGCACGCCCUCAGCCCCCCUCACCCCUCCGCCGGGAAGACUCGGGUCCCGCCAACUACCAGAAGCGGGUCCGGCGACGCGCGGGCCGAGUGCCGCCGCCAGUGGUGCGGAGCCCCGUGUGGCCCCGGGCCUGAAGAGCUCCCGGGGCCGCGUGAUUUUCACGCACACACCCACCUCCGGCUCUGGGCCUCGAAUCCCCCAAAGCGCUUUAUCGGUUGCCCACGAAGUGACCAUGCGUUGCGGGCUCUGGGGCUCCGUUGGAAGCAGAUGGAAACUCUCCGUUGGACGGCUUUGGGGGCUGUGUGUCAGCAGCGCCCCCUUCUUUGCUGCAGGACCCUGAGCCGCAGCGCCGGAUGUGCCCCCGCGGUGUCCAGGGGGUGAGGCCUGGGAGUGGGUCGUGACUGCUCUUCCAUGUUUGUGAAGGGCGACCUCGGAGAAGAACGUGGAUCGGGAGGUCCCAGGUGGAUCUGCAUGUCCAGAGGCUCCAUGAGAGGUGUCUUACAGCCAGGCGCAAGGCCACAAAUGCCCCGAGGUCAGCCUUCGGUCCGGAGGCUGUUGAAGUAAGUCCCAAGGCCGUGAGUCAUUGACCCUCGGGAUGACGUGGGAUGUGUGUUCGCUGAGACUUUUUUCCGAGGUUCUCUCGGUGCCAUUAGUAGUCACCAGAGGGGCAGAGAACAGAGAGGGAGUCCUCUAUGCGAAGCAUCCCCAGAGCACCCCGUGCUGUCCGCUCAGAGCACCUCGGAGCAGCCCUUGGCUCCGCGCGUGACAUCAGAGGGAAGGUGCUGGGGCUGCGGCCGGGUCCGCUCCAGCUGGCUCUGAGUCGGAACAGCCGUGCCCCGAGAAGCCGUAGACGGGAGGUCAGCUCCGCCUCCCUCUGCUGUGUCUGGAAUGACUUGAAUGAGCGAACGUUUUCCUCUUGCAUUCCAGCUGCUCGUCACUUUCCCCUCUGCCUACCCAUUCAAUAAACCUUACGGACUUGC